AGAAGAUACCCACAGUGGCAGCAACCAGUUACAGAGGUUGAGUUUCUUUCCUCUACAUUCUUUCCCUUUCCUUGUUCAGAACCCUAAUGUUUUGAUUGACUAGAUUCUAAAUCUAGACCAUAUAAUCUGAUGUUGCUAAAAUAUGUUAAUAAUUAGAUUUUUUUGACUUUUCUUGGUAAUUGUUUUAGCCUAAUUUUUUCAAGACAAAAAGAGAAACAAGGAACUGUGAUGCACUUGAUGUUUUUAAAUAACGCCCCUCUGUCCAAAAGAGCACAUAAAUUAUAUAAUCUUUGAAUCACGAAUUUGCUUUACCAUUCACUUGAUUACUAGGCUUUGCCUUCCUGUGCCUUUUGUUUGUUGAUAAUUCCUCCAAGAAUUUUGUUCUUCAGGGCAAGCUAGAUGGGAUGAGGAAUUCCUGAUUUUAGAGAGAGAGCCAUGUCAUCAUCCAUGUUAUAGAGAGGCACUAUGUUUAAAGUCUGGGAAUGUAAAUUAUUUCCUUGCAAAGAUAGAUAUUUCCUCUUAUUACGCUAUGUUGUUUGUCUAGAAAAGGUACCAUGUGAAUUGGCAUCAUCAUUUGCUUAUACCUACAAGCUUUCUAUCUAGCUCUAUCUAGCAGGUUGCUUGUGAUUGGAACCAAAUCUGAUAUGCCCCGGAGUUCGAAAUAUUGCUUGGUUGGCUGCUUAACCGUUGCAUCGUGGCAGUAAAUAUUGCUCAAUUGUUGUGGACAGUUGAGAAAACACGUUUACCAGCUUGCGGUGAUCGUGUAUGACAGUAUGAGGGUGUGCGCAUACUCUGGCUCAUGAGUUAGGGGGUUCAUGCCUCCAACGCUGGCACCAGCGGCAAGUAUAUCUCUCAAGGUUGAGAAACCUGAGCAAGGACGGCCUCCUGGAGCAGCUUCCCAUGCUGCUAUAGUUGCUCUUCUAGCUCAUCAGCUGCUAUAUUUUCCAAAUAAUCAAAAUUAAUUUCCGCAUGUGAUGCUUAUAGAUUAGAUUAUUUGUGGUGUUCUCUUGUCUUCAUGGAGUAACACAGGUGGUUGCUAUGGCUGAUCUCAAAUGGAGCUUAGG